rnacentral:rRNA from 1 species
AUUGAACGCUGGCGGCAGGCCUAACACAUGCAAGUCGAACGAGUGGCGGACGGGUGAGUAAUGUCUGGGAAACUGCCUGAUGGAGGGGGAUAACUACUGGAAACGGUAGCUAAUACCGCAUACCAUCGGAUGUGCCCAUAUGGGAUUAGCUAGUAGGUGGGGUAACGGCUCACCUAGGCGACGAUCCCUAGCUGGUCUGAGCGGAUGAACAGCGACACUGGAAACGCGAUGAGGGCCAGACGCCUACGGGUGGCAGCAGUGGGGAAUAUUGCACAAAUGGCGCAAGCCUGAUGAAGCCAUGCCGCGUGCAUGGAGAAGGCCUUCGGGUUGUAAAGUACUUUCAGCGGGGAGGCGUUACCCGCAGAAGAAGCACCGGCUAACUCCGUGCCAGCAGCCGCGGUAAUUC